rnacentral:rRNA from 1 species
UACGUAGGGUGCGGAGCGUUGUCCGGAAUUAUUGGCGUAAAGAGCUCGUAGGCGGUCUGUCGCGUCGAAUGUGAAAACCCGGGGCUCAACUCCGGGCUUGCAUUCGAUACGGGCAGGCUAGAGUUCGGUAGGGGAGUCUGGAAUUCCUGGUGUAGCGGUGAAAUGCGCAGAUAUCAGGAGGAACACCGGUGGCGAAGGCGGGUCUCUGGGCCGAUACUGACGCUGAGGAGCGAAAGCGUGGGGAGCAAACAGG